rnacentral:tRNA from 1 species
CGGGCUGUGGCGCAGCUUGGUAGCGCGUCUCACUGGGGGUGAGAAGGUCGCAGGUUCGAAUCCUGUCAGCCCGACCA